rnacentral:sRNA from 1 species
GGCUCAAGGGAAAGCUGAGGGUAGGAGAAAUCCCCCUGAGAGAACUUCUUGUUUUCUGGGACAGCUUCGUUCUUGAGCCUU